GAGAACAGCCAGAGAGAGCGGUCGGUAUAGGUAGCCAUAUAGACAUGACGGCCUGAAUACGAGCAGGUGCAACAGAAUACUAACUUCAGCCGCGUAACGAGUAACAAGUAAAAGAACAAGAAAAAGGGACAGAAAAGGAAACAUCUGUUUCCUUUUGUCUGUCCUAUUUCUUACGCUAUUACUCGUUUUAACCUUAACAAGCUGAUGCUCAUGCAUUUUAAUUUUUUUUUUUGCGUACCAUGAUGUUCACGCUUAAUUAGUAAUAUUCGGAGGCUAAACAUCGCACUAACACCUUGAAUACACUACUCGUUGGUUUCAAAGGGCUCAAACAAGGACGCUGUUUCACCGUCCACAAGCAAAUGCGACAGCGUACAAUUUGCACUUUUUUUUUCCCGUUCUUUUUCGUCGGCCAUAUUCCCGCGGAAGAAGGGUUAGCUUUUACGCCCUUUCACCCCAUAAACUCAUCGCAACCGCCGUUUGCACAUACAGACACACAGAACAGCACACACACGCACACGCAUACAGUACACAUACACACUGCUCUUCAGGGUGGACUGAGGCAAAGACCUUGAAUCCUACUGGGCUUCCCUCCUGAGGGUAGAGAAAAAUACUUUCACUAAAAAAAAAAAAUAGAAGAAGAAAAUAUAGAAGGUAGAUUUACGGCGUACGCUUACAAAAACGAAAAAAAAAAGAGUUAACCGGCUGUGCAAAGGAGCUCCGAAACGUUGUAGAAUCCCUGAUUUUAUAACCUUAGUUUCUUCCGGUACAUAUUUUAAGUCGGCAGACUAUGCCGUUUUGCCCCGCUGAACCGAAUAACGUAGGGAGCGGCGCGAUAUGGGCCCGGACAGAGAUAAAUAAAGAAAAAAGAAAGACUACGAAAAAAGGAGUGAGAGGAGGCGAAGAAAGAGGUGGAAAGAGUUGAAAGGGAAACACCGGAAGCUCGAAGAAAGGCGCGAGAAGACCUGGCGUGUGUGUGUGUGUGCGUGUCCGCGUGCGCGACGUACGUUACCGGCAAAUAUGUGGAGCUCGCGAGCAAGCAGGCCUCCCCGAACGUCGUCGCCGUCCCGCGUAGUAGAAGGAUCGUGCAGAGGGUAGCGUAACCCGAGCAGGAGCGAGCACGCGCGAGACUUUGCGGACGAGGCCGCCGCCGUAGCGCGUAUCCGCGGACGUAGUUGUCGGGGGUAGGCACACCUUGCAGGUUAGGCCCGCAAAAAAAAUUGUCGCCGUAGUACUAUUGCCCAGGUAGCGAGAAUAGCCACCUGUUUCGCACAUUCUCUUAAAUAUAGUUAUUUUACUUUAGGUUCGGUCGGAGCUCGGCAUUCGUUCUGAAGAGAUGCAUACGCAACUUGGUACGUUGUUUCUUCUUUUUUUUUUCUUCUUCCUUGUUUCGAAAGUAUAAGUCAUGUUUGCGGGUUCCGAAAUUCGUACGCUGUGUAAUUUUCUGCCGUCCGCUGAUUCGAACCGUCGCUAUUUCAAUUUGUGGCUUAAAGCAAGUGGUUUGAGAUUUGAGCGCCGAUGCGCAGUUAUUUAAAAAAGAAACGGAUCGUUUAGGGUUUGUAUGAGAUGCAACCUCGCUUCUGUGUCACUUGGUGUGUCACUUGGAUACGCUGGAAGUCAGCGGUUUCGACAGUCGUCUGCCCCUUCUUCGUUCUUUGCCAUUUGUUCUGCGCGGAUGUACGUUCGGGAGAAUGGAAGAAACCACUUCGUCUCAGACAGGGCUGAACGAAAAUUCUCUAGGUGCUAAAUAAAUAGUCGAUCUUAUCUUUGUCAGUGACCUCUCUUUGUGAUGAUGUCCAUUAAAGUUUGUGUGUUACACCGU